AACGAACGCUGGCGGCAGGCUUAACACAUGCAAGUCGAGCGCCCCGCAAGGGGAGCGGCAGACGGGUGAGUAACGCGUGGGAAUCUACCCAUCUCUACGGAACAACUCCGGGAAACUGGAGCUAAUACCGUAUACGUCCUUCGGGAGAAAGAUUUAUCGGAGAUGGAUGAGCCCGCGUUGGAUUAGCUAGUUGGUGGGGUAAUGGCCUACCAAGGCGACGAUCCAUAGCUGGUCUGAGAGGAUGAUCAGCCACACUGGGACUGAGACACGGCCCAGACUCCUACGGGAGGCAGCAGUGGGGAAUAUUGGACAAUGGGCGAAAGCCUGAUCCAGCCAUGCCGCGUGAGUGAUGAAGGCCCUAGGGUUGUAAAGCUCUUUCACCGGUGAAGAUAAUGACGGUAACCGGAGAAGAAGCCCCGGCUAACUUCGUGCCAGCAGCCGCAGUAAGAC
rnacentral:rRNA from 1 species